rnacentral:rRNA from 1 species
GACAGAGGGUGCAAACGUUGUUCGGAAUUACUGGGCGUAAAGCGUGUGUAGGCGGCUUUGCAAGUCGGAUGUGAAAGCCCCGGGCUUAACCUGGGAAUUGCGAUGGAGACUGCAAGGCUUGAAUCUGGCAGAGGGGGGUAGAAUUCCACGUGUAGCAGUGAAAUGCGUAGAGAUGUGGAGGAACACCGAUGGCGAAGGCAGCCCCCUGGGUCAAGAUUGACGCUCAUGCACGAAAGCGUGGGGAGCAAACAGG